rnacentral:lncRNA from 1 species
AAACAACAACAAACAACGACGAAUAAUAAUAAUUUUGAACUGGCAAGCUUGUACGGCAAUUCGAAUGGAACUCAUCAACACCCAGUACCAACGACAACAACUCGAUCAACCCGAAUCGAUACCAACAAAAAUCCGAAGAAGCUGAAAUCAACGAACAACUGCAAAACCCGACUUCGAUGACCCAAAAACCCAAUAACAGAGUGACCCAACCAAAAAUUCAAAUUCAAAAUUUGAAUUCAUACUAAUUAGUAUGAAUUUUUACAAUGCAACUCAUCCCCUUUAACCUCUUAUCUCAAAUUCAAAAAUUCCUUAAAAAUACUUAAAAUGUCCCUUACAUCCUUUCUCCUACA